rnacentral:rRNA from 1 species
UACGUAGGGGGCGAGCGUUGUCCGGAUUUAUUGGGCGUAAAGAGCUCGUAGGCGGCCAGAUAAGUCCGGUGUGAAAGUCAAAGGCUCAACCUUUGAAUGCCGCUGGAAACUGUCUGGCUAGAGUCCGGGAGGGGCGAGUGGAAUUCCUGGUGUAGCGGUGAAAUGCGUAGAUAUCUGGAGGAACACCGGUGGCGAAGGCGGCAUCCUGGACCGGCAUUGACGCUGAGGCGCGAAAGCCAGGGGAGCAAACGGG